AUUGAACGCUGGCGGCAUGCCUUACAUAUGCGAGUCGAACGGCAGCACGGGGCAACCUGGUGGCGAGUGGCGAACGGGUGAGUAAUGCAUCGGAACGUACCUUUCAGUGGGGGAUAACGUAGCGAAAGUUACGCUAAUACCGCAUAUUCUGUGAGCAGGAAAGCAGGGGAUCGCAAGACCUUGCGCUGAUUGAGCGGCCGAUGUCAGAUUAGCUAGUUGGUGAGGUAAAGGCUCACCAAGGGGACGAUCUGUAGCGGGUCUGAGAGGAUGAUCCGCCACACUGGAACUGAGACACGGUCCAGACUCCUACGGGAGGCAGCAGUGGGGAAUUUUGGACAAUGGGGGCAACCCUGAUCCAGCCAUGCCGCGUGAGUGAAGAAGGCCUUCGGGUUGUAAAGCUCUUUCGGCCGGGAAGAAAUCGCACGGGCUAAUACCCUGUGUGGAUGACGGUACCGGAAUAAGAAGCACCGGCUAACUACGUGCCAGCAGCCGCAGUAAGAC
rnacentral:rRNA from 1 species